rnacentral:lncRNA from 1 species
UAUUAAUAGGCCUUCCUGGCAAAUAAUCAUGUCGUCUAUGUUAAAAGACAGGCGUUGACUAUUAGCAUCCUUGUACAUGACUAAAAUACUAUCAUCAUUCUACGUUAAUCAUUGUUUGUAAUGUGUUAAUUGGCAAGAAAUACACGUAUCAAUAUAAAAUAGUAUGUUAAUAUUAAUUAUUAAUUAAAUAUAUUAGUUCACAGAAAC